UACGUGAGGGGCGAACGUUGUUCGGUGUCACUGGGCUUAAAGAGUGCGUAGGUGGUUGCGUAAGUAACGUGUGAAAUCCCUCGGCUUACCCGGGGAACUGCGCGUUAUACUGCGUGACUUGAGGAUUUCAGGGGAAUGGGGAACUCCAGGUGUAGCGGUGAAAUGCGCAGAUAUCUGGGGGAAGGCCGGCGGCGAAGGCGCCAUUCUGGGAAAUUCCUGACACUGAGGCACGAAAGCGUGGGGAGCAAACAGG
rnacentral:rRNA from 1 species